rnacentral:rRNA from 1 species
UCCUACGGGAGGCAGCAGUCGGGAAUUUUGGGCAAUGGGCGAAAGCCUGACCCAGCAACGCCGCGUGAAGGAUGAAAUCCUUCGGGAUGUAAACUUCGCAAGAACGGGAAGAAUAAGUGAGAGUUAAUAUCUCUCGCGAUGACGGUACCGUUUGUAAGCUCCGGCUAACUCCGUGCCAGCAGCCGCGGUAAUACGGGGGGAGCAAGCGUUGUUCGGAUUUACUGGGCGUAAAGGGCGCGUAGGCGGCCACCGCAAGUCGACUGUGAAAUCUCCGGGCUUAACCCGGAAAGGUCAGCCGAUACUGCGGGGCUAGAGUGCAGAAGGGGCAACUGGAAUUCUCGGUGUAGCGGUGAAAUGCGUAGAUAUCGAGAGGAACACCUGCGGCGAAGGCGGGUUGCUGGGCUGACACUGACGCUGAGGCGCGAAAGCUAGGGGAGCGAACGGGAUUAGAUACCCCGGUAGUCCUAGCCGUAAACGAUGGACACUAGGUGUUGGUGGUAUCAACCCCGCCAGUGCCGAAGCUAACGCAUUAAGUGUCCCGCCUGGGGAGUACGGCCGCAAGGCUAAAACUCAAAGGAAUUGACGGA